AAACCAACAGGGAUUGCCUUAGUAACGGCGAGUGAAGCGGCAAAAGCUCAAAUUUGAAAUCUAGUGCCUUUGGUACUCGAGUUGUAAUUUGAAGAAUUUUUCUCCGAACAGUCCUUUAUCUAUGUUCCUUGGAACAGGACGUCAUAGAGGGUGAGAAUCCCGUGUGAUUUUGGAUACUGUUCAUUGUGAGAUUUAUUCGAAGAGUCGAGUUGUUUGGGAAUGCAGCUCUAAGUGGGUGGUAAGUUCCAUCUAAAGCUAAAUAUUGGCGAGAGACCGAUAGCGAACAAGUACAGUGAUGGAAAGAUGAAAAGAACUCUGAAGAGAGGGUGAAAAAGUACGUGAAAUUGCUGAAAGGGAAGGGCUUUAGGUCAGACUUGGUGUUUAAUACUCAGUUCUCCUUGUGGGAGCUGCUCUUGUUUUUCACUGGGCCAAUAUCAGUUUUGGCGGUAGAGCACCUCUGGAAAUGUAGCUGCCUUCGGGUAGUGUUAUAGUCUGGGGACGAUCUACUGCUGGGACUGAGGUCUGCGCAUUGCUAGGAUAUGC
rnacentral:rRNA from 1 species